GGUUCUAUAGUGUAGCGGUUAUCACUUCGGAUUCUGAGAAAUCCAGUCUUCUUAGAAGAUUCCGACAACCCCGGUUCGAAUCCGGGUAGGACCU
rnacentral:tRNA from 1 species